rnacentral:tRNA from 1 species
GAUUCGGUAGUUCAGCUGGUUAGAAUGCCGCCCUGUCACGGCGGAGGUCGCGGGUUCGAGUCCCGUCCGGAUCGCAA